rnacentral:rRNA from 1 species
AGUGAAUAGAUACCCGGGUAGUCCUGGCUGUAAACGAUGAGCACUAGCUGGGAGGGACGUAGGUCCUCCCAAACGGAGCGAAAAGUAGUUAAGUGCUCCGCCGUGGGGAGUAUGGUCGCAAGGCUGAAACUACAAAGGAAUUGACGGGGGCGUCACACAAGCGGUGGAGCAUGUGGCUUAAUUUACGAGGCAACGCGAAGAACCUUACUCCUAGGCUUGACAUGGUCGGAUUAGUUCCGUGAAAGCGGAAUGACGCCUCGGGUGGUAACGGAUCACAGGUGCUGCAUGGCUGUCGUCAGCUCGUGUCGUGAGAUGU